rnacentral:lncRNA from 1 species
CGGCCGCUGUGGCUCCACAUGGCGACCCCUCCCUGGAUGGCGAAGGUGCCCUCUAGCUCCUCCAACUGGAUGACGACUGAAGAGGCCCAGGCUCGGGAACCCCUCUCACCCUUGCCGAGCCCAGGGUAAUGCUUCAGGUAGCAGAGACAAAUGAAGACACUCGACCAUCUCUAAAUGCUACCAAACACAUAGAGUCUACUCUGAAUGCAGAUACUGCUCUCAUAAAAAUUCUGCAAAGGAGGAAGGGGUUGGUGCAGAACUGUUCCGAUGCUGAUCAACUGAGAUGCAAAACCCAUGUUCACAUCAUGAGUGAGUCUUCUAACUCGGACAAUGCAAUCAACAAAUUCUAAGACCAAAUUCCGGUGGCACUGGCUCCAAAGCUCCUGAGUGUGGAAGGAGGUGAACAGGGAAAAGCAGAGAGGACAAAAGUCACAUCCCCUCCCCACAGACCCAUACUGGGGAAGGGUGGAAGAUUUAGCUGCGAGUCAAGUUCAGAAUUUUGAUUAACAUCUUGGCAUGCACAUUCGAAUUUCAGAAUCAAGACUGUUGGCCAUAAAAAAUGACUAUAGCCUUGUGUAUUACCUGAACUGAGCAGUAAAAAAAAAGUCAUGGUCCUUCUGGGGCUUUUAUUCUGAGACAGGAACCCUGAACAGGCAGGAGAAAGGGAAUGUUGACAGAGAAACAAAGACAGUUGGCGACACACGCUGACCGCCAUGCGGACGUCCAUCAAACCCAGCACUGGCCCUGGGUACGUGCGCCUUUGCUAUUACCCCAAUACAUUUUCUUCUGCAGAGCAAGCAACAGAACACAUGCAGACCUUAAUAAAUACCACUGGGUAAUGUGACAAUGGCCAAACUCUCCUCACGGGGGAGAGAGUGUCCCCCAGUUUUGCUCCCUUUUAAUUUCCAGGGUUCAUAAGUAGCUCUAAAGCUUUGCUCUACAAGGUUGAUACAUACGAUAUUAAUGUUUCCCCUAAGCAGUAUAACAUAAAUAUAUUUGCUAUCUUG